rnacentral:rRNA from 1 species
GAUGAACGCUGGCGGCGUGCUUAACACAUGCAAGUCGAACGGGAAACUUUUCAUUGAAGCUUCGGCAGAUUUGGUCUGUUUCUAGUGGCGGACGGGUGAGUAACGCGUGGGUAACCUGCCUUAUACAGGGGGAUAACAACCAGAAAUGGUUGCUAAUACCGCAUAAGCGCACAGGACCGCAUGGUCCGGUGUGAAAAACUCCGGUGGUAUAAGAUGGACCCGCGUUGGAUUAGCUAGUUGGCAGGGCAACGGCCUACCAAGGCGACGAUCCAUAGCCGGCCUGAGAGGGUGAACGGCCACAUUGGGACUGAGACACGGCCCAGACUCCUACGGGAGGCAGCAGUGGGGAAUAUUGCACAAUGGGGGAAACCCUGAUGCAGCGACGCCGCGUGAAGGAAGAAGUAUCUCGGUAUGUAAACUUCUAUCAGCAGGGAAGAUAGUGACG